GGAUUAGGCAUGCAAGUCGAGGGAGGGGGGAAGGGUACUCGAGCGGCGUAAGGGACAGUAAGCAUGGGACACGUACCUUCAGGACUGGGAUAGCUGCGGGAAACUGCAAUUAAUACCAGAUAACGUCUCCGGACCAAAGGUGUGAGUCCGCCUGGAGAGCGGCCCAUAUCCUAUUAGCUAGUUGGUGGGGUAAUGGCCUACCAAGGCAAAGAUGGGUAGCAGGUGUGAGAGCACGACCUGCGUCACCGGGACUGAGAACUGCCCAGACACCUACGGGUGGCUGCAGUCGAGAAUCUUCGGCAAUGGGCGCAAGCCUGACCGAGCGACGCCGCGUGUGGGAUGAAGGCCUUCGGGUUGUAAACCACUGUCGGAGGGGAUGAAAUACCGGUAGGUACUCCUAUCGGUUUGACUGAUCCUCGGAGGAAGGGUGGGCUAAGUUCGUGCCAGCAGCCGCGGUAAGACGUACCACCCAAACGUUAUUCGGAAUCACUGGGCUUACAGAGUCCGUAGGCGGCUCGGAAAGUUGGGCGUGAAAUACCUCGAGCUCAACUGAGGAAUUGCGCUCAAAACUACCGAGCUUGAGAGAGACAGAGGUGAGCGGAACUGAUAGGUGGAGCGGUGAAAAUGCGUUGAUAUCAUCAGGAACACCGGUGGGGAAGGCGGCUCACUGGGUCUUUUCUGACGCUGAGGGACGAAAGCUAGGGUAGCGAACGGGAUUAGAUACCCCGGUAGUCCUAGCCCUUAAAACGAUGAGCACUAGAUCCGAGGGGACCCUCACAUCCUCCUUGGUCGUAGGGAAACCUGUUAAGUGCUCCGCCUGGGGAGUAUGGUCGCAAGGCUGAAACUCCAAAGGAAUUGACGGGGGCCUCACACAGCGGUGGGAGGAUGUGGGCUUAAUUCGAGGCUACGCAAAGAACCUUAUCCUAGUCUUACAGCUUAGGAACCUGACCGAAAGUUGGGGUGCCCGCAAGGGAGCCUUGCACAGGUGCUGCAUGACUGUCGUCAGCUCGUUCGUGAGAGUCGCGUUAAGUCGCUUAACGAGCGAAACCCUUUCCUUAGUUCCAGCGGGUCAUGCCGGGGACUCUAAGGAGACGCCGGUGUUAAACCGAGGAAGGUGGGAGACGUCAAGUCCUCAUGCCUUUAUGACUAGGCUCACACGUCCUACAAUGCCAUCACAAAGCGAACAAACCCGUAGGCCACAAAUGCAAAAAACAUCCUCAGUUCGAUUUAGCUCAACCCGCCUACAGAAGCGGGAAUCGGGUAGUAAUCGGGGUCAAAUACCCGUGAAGGGGGUGGUGAGCCGUGUGCGCCCCCCCGU
rnacentral:rRNA from 1 species